rnacentral:rRNA from 1 species
GACGAACGCUGGCGGCGUGCCUAAUACAUGCAAGUUGAGCGCUGAAGGUUGGUACUUGUACCAACUGGAUGAGCAGCGAACGGGUGAGUAACGCGUGGGGAAUCUGCCUUUGAGCGGGGGACAACAUUGGGAAACGAAUGCUAAUACCGCAUAAAAACUUUAAACACAAGUUUUAAGUUUGAAAGAUGCAAUUGCAUCACUCAAAGAUGAUCCCGCGUUGUAUUAGCUAGUUGGUGAGGUAAAGGCUCACCAAGGCGAUGAUACAUAGCCGACCUGAGAGGGUGAUAGGCCACAUUGGGACUGAGACACGGCCCAAACUCCUACGGGGGGCAGCAGUAGGGAAUCUUCGGCAAUGGACGAAAGUCUGACCGCGCAACGCCGCGUGAGUGAAGAAGGGUUUCGGAUCGUAAAAAGCUGUUUGUAGGGAAGAACGUUGGUGAGAGUGGAAAGCUCAUCAAGUGACGGUAACUACCCAGAAAGGGACGGCUAACUACGUG